ACAGCCAAGGGAACGGGCUUGGAAUAAUUAGCGGGGAAAGAAGACCCUGUUGAGCUUGACUCUAGUCUGGCAGUGUAAGGAGACAUAAGAGGUGUAGCAUAAGUGGGAGAUAUAUUAGUUUCGGCUAAAUAUAUCAAAAAUGAAAUACCACUACUCUUAUUGUUUCCUUACUUACUUGAUAAAAUGGAACGUGUAUCAUUCACUUAGCCAUUUUAUGAAUAUAUUUAUAUAUUUUAUGGUAUUUUGUUUUGAUGCGAGCUUCUUGUUUAAAGUACCAAGAGUUUGUUAUAUACACCAAACAAAUAUCAAUUAAAUUUGCUUUCCAUUAAUAAUGGUUUGUUAAAUAUUAAUUGAAUUUGGUAUAACUAUUAUACUUAGGUAUGAUCCAAUUCAAGGACAUUGCCAGGUGGGGAGUUUGACUGGGGCGGUACAUCUCUCAAAUAAUAACGGAGGUGUCCCAAGGCCAGCUCAGUGCGGACAGAAACCACACAUAGAGCAAAAGGGCAAAUGCUGACUUGAUCUCGGUGUUCAGUACAUACAGAGACAGCAAAAGCUCGGCCUAUCGAUCCUUUUGGUUUAAAGAGUUUUUAACAAGA
rnacentral:rRNA from 1 species